UAUUAAAGGCAACGCCUGCCCAGUGAAUAAUUAAACGGCCGCGGUAUCCUAACCGUGCAAAGGUAGCGUAAUCACUUGCCUAUUAAUUGUAGGCCUGUAUGAAAGGCAUAAUGAGGGUUUAACUGUCUCUUUUAGUAAAUCAAUUAAACUGAUCUCCUAGUCCAAAAGCUAGGAUACUAACAUAAGACCAGAAGACCCUGUGAAGCUUUAACUAAACUAUUAAACUCUAUAAUAGCUCCUUUCGGUUGGGGCGACCUUGGAAAAAAAAAGAACUUCCAAACAUAAUAUACCAUUUAUAUUUACCAGGCUGACAAGCCUACCACGACCCAGCACAGCUGACAACUGAACCAAGUUACUCCAGGGAUAACAGCGCUAUCUUCUUCAAGAGCCCAUAUCAAAAAGAAGGUUUACGACCUCGAUGUUGGAUCAGGACAUCCCAACGGUGCAACCGCUAUUAAAGGUUCGUUUGUUCAACGAUUAACA
rnacentral:rRNA from 1 species